rnacentral:rRNA from 1 species
CCUACGGGAGGCAGCAGUGAGGAAUAUUGGUCAAUGGGCGCAAGCCUGAACCAGCCGUCCCGCGUGCAGGAUAACGGCCCUAUGCCUAGUAAACUGCUUUUGUAUGGGAGCAAUAAGAUCUACGUGUAGAUUGAUGAGAGUACCAUACGAAUAAGCACCGGCUAACUCCGUGCCAGC